rnacentral:lncRNA from 1 species
CGGCAGGUUGUUUUGUUCCGGCGUUGCGGAGAGAGGUGCUUGUGUGAUCCUCCACCAGUGAGAGUAUAGCGCCUCCGGUCCUGGGGGUUUGAGCGCUGCCUUCACCUCCGUGGCAACUCACUCAGCCUUAAGUGAAGAAUCAAGACAUCUGCCUAGCCGUUGUUGUGAGGGCUCCUCCUCAGUGGAGCCUGCUGUCUUGUCUUGUCUUGUUUGGUUUUGAAUUGUUUUACCUUGUCUUAUUUGGUUUUAUUAAGUAGGCCUACCAUUUCCUGGUUCGCCUGGUUUUAUUUUAUCUCUGGAUUGUUGCGUGUGCCCACGCUUCUGUGAUCGGGCUGAAGCAAUUCUUUGCCCGAGUGUCGUGCCGGGGAUUUUAAAUUGCCCCCGUUGCUGGUCUUAGCCUGUGGGGAGCCAGACCAGCUCGCGAUUGAGGCUGGGACCAUUACUACCAGUACGAGUGGACCCAUGGGGCACAAGCCUUCCUGUGUGUGUGUGUGUGUGUGUGUGUGUGUGUGUGUGGUUUCUUUUAUUAAAGUGUGUUUUAGUUCUUUUUAUCAUCUGUAGCGAGCCUGACGCUCAGUGUCCUUUUAUUCUUUUAACAUAUUUUUCUGUGUUUUCUUUAGUGAACGGAGGACGUACCAGUGGCCCUGGGACCUUAGGUGGUGGGUCGUUUUCACACUUUCUUUUGUACAGCACCGGGUGGGCUGCAGUGAUUUUCGUUUUCACACUUUCUUUUGUACAGCACCGGGUGGGCUGCAGUGAUUUUCGUUUUGUGUGAUUUUCUUUUGGGUCCACGGCUGCUGGUAAGUCCAAGUUCCAUGUUUGUUUUAUUUUCACUUUAGGACACUGUCAACAAUGACGCUACAUCUUGGUUUCUAAAUAUUUUAUUUAUUUUUACUAUAAAUAAAACUGUUUUAAUAUUGGAGCCAACCUGCCUCAGUGUGCAUCCUUGAAUCUGUGCGGCCUCCUUUUAUUCUUUUUUAUCUAUUUUUCUUAAAUAUAUUUCCUGGGGGUGAAAUUCCCCUAGGUGGCGUUGUCAUUUUAUUAUUUCUUUUAUAACCCCGCCGACCACUUGGUCACAUUUAGAUUAAACAUUAAAAUAAUUAUUUCUGCCUAAGUUUUACCUUACCUAAAUUAUCAAACACCCGAAAAGUCACAAAAUGAUCAUAUAAUCCAUUGUUCCACAUUAGACCUAAAAUUCACCCUUUCUGACACAUUUCCAUGUGUCAAACAAAACCACAAUUACGAAAUUAAAAGAGAGGAAAAAGGUUAAUCAUAUUAUUUCUCAGAACACCUCAGCAAUUCUCCUCUCGAGUAUAUUUGCUCCGGGCCAGCAAACCGGUGUUAAAGGAAUAAAAUUGGUUUAAGUAUCAUGUUAAAUCUUUUGAACUCCUGGCUCCACCCAGAGCCUGCAUCCUCGGAACUGCCUAGAAACAAACCUGUGUGUUAACAUCAACUUCACAUUUGAAACUCAGUUUUCCCCACUGUGAUCAAAUCUGUGCUAUAAGAAAUAAAACUUAAAACAGAACAGUUAUCACUCAUGUGCUUCAUACAAAAUUAGCAUAUUUUUUAAUUUCACAUCGAUCCUCUGAGUGUCAUGGUACUUCUUUUAAUUUUGACUUUAUCAAAGCUAACUAAAAUAGAUUUGCUUUCCUUACUUUGCUCCUGUUCUCCUCCAGUACCAGCUAGUAUCACAUACCCUUACCGAUCGUGUUCUUUUAAUAAUUUACUAUUUUAAAGGAAAAAACCUCGGUCCUUGGACCAGUGUUUGUUAUUCCAUAACUGCAUUUUAAUCUAAGAAGUUACCAAUCCCCUAUAUAAUUCCUAAAUUUUGCUUUCAUUCUAAUUAUUUUCCUCUAUAAAAUUUAUUUGAUUUCUACGGUGGCCUGCUUUGGUUAAUGGUAGUCUGAGUAAUAUCAAAAAUUUUCUCCCCUUUAACAUUUGACAUUUUCCCAGCAAUAUAAUGUAAUACCAUAAUCUAAACCCAGUCAAUAAAACAGAAUUUUCUUAAAGCAAACAUCAGCAACCCAAAAUUAGCAGCCGAAAGGUUAAGUCUGCAGCUCCACACUCAUGUGAAACUACACUCUUCCGCUCUGGUCUCUCUUCUCCUCCUGCUCAUGGCAAAGCAAAACAAAGCAAAGCAAAGCAUCCCCCCAUCUGUUGCCGGCGUGGUGAAUUGUUUGUCAACAUUUACUCAUCCUAACCUUGGUCCAGUCUUUAUCUCAGUGUCAAGUCAGUCAGCACUUUAGUCCACAUCGUCAGUCCAGUCACACAUUCACUCACCCACAUUCACAUGAGAUAUUGCUGAUAGUGGAGAUUCCCACGCAAACAAUCAGAUUCUCCACCCUCAGCAACAUGAGCUCAUUCAUUUGUUUUAUUUUUUUUUUGUUUUUUGUUUUUAGAAAAAGAGUUCUUUAGUAUCUUUUAACUGGAUUUACUCGCUGCAAUCCUUUUGGACAGGAACUCAAACGCUCAUCGGUUCCCACAGUUAGGCUUUUCCUCAACCCAUUGUAAUCAGGAAAUGCUCACCUUAUAUUUGUUCUCCCGAAAAUGUUUUAUAGCGCUGUUAAUUCAAUCUUUCAGGCCUGCUUAGAAAAAAAAUGAGUAAAAAGAGAGCUGAAUAUUAGCUCAUCAAAGCACAAAGCAUCGUCACCUGACAGGUUUUCUCCAAGUGCACUGUUACAAAAAUAAUGGCCCCAGUUAUAGACAUGUCCAUGAUUAGUAAAACUCCCUCUAUUGAAAUAAGAAACAACCCAAACCUAACUGCCAGAAUUAACCCCUCACUAAAACAACAACCCCAAAAAUCUUAAUCACAGAAAAGUUUUGCUUACUAAUCUAACAAUAUGUUGUGGGAAUUAGAACUUUCCGGGCUACAAAAGUUUUGCCCUACUCCUGCUUAACUAAUACUUACAU